rnacentral:rRNA from 1 species
AGGAUGGGACUGCGUCCGAUCAGGCUGUUGGCGGGGUAAUGGCCCACCAAACCUGUAACCGGUACGGGCCUUGAGAGAGGUGGCCCGGAGAUGGACACUGAGAGAAGGGUCCAGGUCCUACGGGGCGCAGCAGGCGCGAAACCUUCGCAAUGCGCGAAAGCGUGACGAGGUUAAUCCGAGUGGCCCCCGCUGAGGGGGUCUUUUGUCAGCUGUAAAUAGGCAGGCGAAUAAGGGGAGGGCAAGCCUGGUGUCAGCCGCCGCGGUAAUACCAGCUCCUAGAGUGGUCGGGGCGAUUAUUGGGCCUAAAGCAUCCGUAGCCGGUUCCGUAGGUCCUCUGUUAAAUCCAACCGCUUAACGGUUGACCUGCAGAGGAUACCGCGGGACUAGGAGGCGGGAGAGGCGGACGGUACUCCGCGUGUAGGGGUAAAAUCCUUUGAUCCGCGGAAGACCACCAGUGGCGAAGGCGGUCCGCCAGAACGCGCUCGACGGUGAGGGAUGAAAGCUGGGGGAGCGAACCGGAUUAGAUACCCGGGUAGUCCCAGCCGUAAACGAUGCUAGCUAGAUGAUUCAUUCGCAAGUCGCGAAUGAAGUGUCGCAGGGAAGCCGUUAAGCUAGCCGCCUGGGGAGUACGGUCGCAAGACUGAAACUU